GGGUUGUGAGGUUAAGCGACUAAGCGUACACGGUGGAUGCCCUGGCAGUCAGAGGCGAUGAAGGACGUGCUAAUCUGCGAAAAGCGUCGGUAAGGUGAUAUGAACCGUUACAGCCGGCGAUGUCCGAAUGGGGAAACCCAGUGCAAUUCGUUGCACUAUCGUUAACUGAAUACAUAGGUUAACGAGGCGAACCGGGGGAACUGAAACAUCUAAGUACCCCGAGGAAAAGAAAUCAACCGAGAUUCCCCCAGUAGCGGCGAGCGAACGGGGAGCAGCCCGGAGUCUGAAUCAGCUUGUGUGUUAGUGGAAGCGUCUGGAAAGUCGCAGGGUACAGGGUGAUACUCCCGUACACUAAAACACACAGGUUGUGAACUCGAAGAGUAGGGCGGGACACGUGGUAUCCUGUCUGAAUAUGGGGGGACCAUCCUCCAAGGCUAAAUACUCCUGACUGACCGAUAGUGAACCAGUACCGUGAGGGAAAGGCGAAAAGAACCCCGGCGAGGGGAGUGAAAAAGAACCUGAAACCGUGUACGUACAAGCAGUAGGAGCCCCACCACCAAAGCGUUUCGCUUUGCGUGGUGCGCAAAAUGCGUAACGACAGCGCGAUGGACGGUUAACGGAGCGUAAGCGACGUUCAACAUCAAAAAUCAGGCAGUGGAGCGUUUUGGGGUGGGGUGACUGCGUACCUUUUGUAUAAUGGGUCAGCGACUUAUAUUCUGUAGCAAGGUUAACCGUAUAGGGGAGCCGCAGGGAAACCGAGUCUUAACUGGGCGUUAAGUUGCAGGGUAUAGACCCGAAA
rnacentral:rRNA from 1 species